rnacentral:rRNA from 1 species
UUGGAGGGCAAGUCUGGUGCCAGCAGCCGCGGUAAUUCCAGCUCCAAUAGCGUAUAUUAAAGUUGUUGCAGUUAAAAAGCUCGUAGUUGAAUUUCGGGACUAAUAUGUCGGUCGUACUUUGUACGUACUAGCAUUAUUGGUUUCUCCCUUCUGACGAACCACGAUGUCAUUAAUUUGGUGUCAUGGGAAAUCAGGACUGUUACUUUGAAAAAAUUAGAGUGCUUAAAGCAAGCUCGCGCUUGAAUACAUUAGCAUGGAAUAAUGAAAUAGGACGUUUGAUUCUAUUUUGUUGGUUUCUAGGAUCGACGUAAUGAUUAAUAGGGAUAGUUGGGGGCAUUAGUAUUCAAUUGUCAGAGGUGAAAUUCUUGGAUUUAUUGAAGACUAACUACUGCGAAAGCAUUUGCCAAGGAUGUUUUCAUUAAUCAAGAACGAAAGUUUGGGGAUCGAAGACGAUCAGAUACCGUCGUAGUCUUAACCAUAAACUAUGCCGACUAGGGAUCGGAUGAUGUUAAUUUUUUAAUGACUCAUUCGGCGCCUUACGGGAAAC